UACGUAGGGUGCGAGCGUUGUCCGGAAUUAUUGGGCGUAAAGAGCUCGUAGGCGGUUUGUUGCGUCUAUCGUGAAAACCUGCGGCUUAACUGUGGGCUUGCGGUGGAUACGGGCAGACUUGAGUUCGGUAGGGGAGACUGGAAUUCCUGGUGUAGCGGUGAAAUGCGCAGAUAUCAGGAAGAACACCGAUGGCGAAGGCAGUUCUCUGGGACGGUACUGACGCUGAGACGCGAAAGCGUGGGGAGCGAACAGG
rnacentral:rRNA from 1 species